AGUGAACGCUGGCGGCAGGCCUAACACAUGCAAGUCGAGCGGCAGCGGGUCCUUCGGGAUGCCGGCGAGCGGCGGACGGGUGAGGAAUGCGUCGGAAUCUGCCUUUUUGUUGGGGAUAACGUAGGGAAACUUACGCUAAUACCGCAUACGACCUACGGGUGAAAGUGGGGGACCGCAAGGCCUCACGCAGAAAGAUGAGCCGACGUCGGAUUAGCUAGUUGGCGGGGUAAAGGCCCACCAAGGCGACGAUCCGUAGCUGGUCUGAGAGGAUGAUCAGCCACACUGGAACUGAGACACGGUCCAGACUCCUACGGGAGGCAGCAGUGGGGAAUAUUGGACAAUGGGCGCAAGCCUGAUCCAGCCAUGCCGCGUGUGUGAAGAAGGCCUUCGGGUUGUAAAGCACUUUUGUCCGGAAAGAAAUCCUGUCGGCUAAUACCCGGCGGGGAUGACGGUACCGGAAGAAUAAGCACCGGCUAACUUCGUG
rnacentral:rRNA from 1 species